rnacentral:rRNA from 1 species
GACGAACGCUGGCGGCGUGCUUAACACAUGCAAGUCGAACGGAAAGACCCUGCUUUUGUGGGGUGCUCGAGUGGCGAACGGGUGAGUAACACGUGAGUAACCUGCCCUUGACUUUGGGAUAACUUCAGGAAACUGGGGCUAAUACCGGAUAGGAGCUCCUGCUGCAUGGUGGGGGUUGGACAGUUUCGGCGGUUGGGGAUGGACUCGCGGCUUAUCAGCUUGUUGGUGGGGUAGUGGCUUACCAAGGCUUUGACGGGUAGCCGGCCUGAGAGGGUGACCAGCCACAUUGGGACUGAGAUACGGCCCAGACUCCUACGUGAGGCAGCAGGGGGGAAUAUUGCACAAUGGGCGGAAGCCUGAUGCAGCAACGCCGCGUGCGGGAUGACGGCCUUCGGGUUGUAAACCGCUUUCGCCUGUGACGAAGCGUGAGUGACGGUAAUGGGUAAAGAAGCACCGGCUAACUACGUG